UUUGGAUUCAAAAGUCUGAGGGCACACGUGGAAGCUCAAAACUCAAAAUAGGUGGGGUGAAAAGAUGGAGGUGAAUUGGACCACUUCUUCCCCAAACUGAGCGCAAGACCAGGAUUCUACACAAGUUCUCAGCUGCUAUGCAAGCACUGCAGCAUCAACAGAGGCUUAAACCUCCAGUUUAGCCUUCUGUAACCAUAACACCAAAAGCUCAGCCACAAGUUCAGCAUCUUAAUUGCCACUCUAGGCCCUGAAAUUGGUGCCUGGUCCUAACAUUAGAUAAUCCAUAGGCAGUAGAACAGGCACUGGCAGAGCCAGAGGCUUACUCUUCUGCUGAAGAAAGCCACCUAUGAAGGCAUGAUUGUCAUAAUGAGCUCCUCCUGGCACAUCUCAGCACAGAAUAAGCCCAGGAGAAGUUCUAAGAAACAAACAAAACCCAACCAAACAAAACAAAUUAAAACCAAAACAAAAAGCACUUGCAGGCAGCUCUUGUGCUCAUUGAGACACUCCUAGAAACAGCUGUGUUCACAUCAAGAGGCAGAGGUGCUGAUUGUAGGAGUUACUAACCUGAGACAAAAUCCCUGGAGCAGAACCUGCUCAUGCUCUUCGGCCUAGCAAUAACUUUUUCUUCUUCAGUACUACUGCAUGAGCAGAGAGCAAGGGAGGAGAGGGAGUACAGACACAUUAGAGCUGACCACCAGCACCACCAGUUGCUUUAUAACUGUGAUCUGCUCAUACUGCUCAAAGGAGAAGGCUGAUGCAGGACAUUUCCUCAGGAAAGAAUCUUGCAUGAUAAGAUGUGGAAGACAACCAUCAGGUCAAGGGACACCCAGCAGGAACAGUACAUUCUGAAGGACAUCUGAAUAAACAUCUUUGUGCUUGAUGUGUAGGUACCCAAGCAAGCUUAAAUCACAUGUCUCAAUUUCAAGGACAGUUCAGUCUUGACCAGCCAUCCACCUGUGGAUGGAAGCUUGCUAGGAAGUUUUGCUGGGACCUAGGAUGACAGGACUGGCUGUCUAGAAGACAACUUGUGUGCACAUAAUACUAUUGUCCCCUGGUUUUGUUUGUCCCCUCAAAGGAGGGACAAUGCUCAAGUGUCAUCCUCAAAGCAGACAAACCUUCACAUGGCAACAGAGAAGAGCAAAAAGCAGCCAUCUCCUUUCAGGAUAUCUAAACUGUGUUUGUUCAAGAACAUGCCCUGACUUUAAGGUCUUCUAAUGAAGAGCUUACAAAAGCUUAUGAAAAUGUGUGCCUCAUUCUCCACAAGAUGCAAGGGCCAAGCUUUGGGAGCCAAAACUUCCAACCCUUACCUGAGGCCAGGGACACAUCAGGAUGAUGUGGUGCCAUACAGAGGACUCGCCUAGGUGCAGGGCCUCUGCAUCUCAGUUCUGUGCUGGCUUUGGGCCAGAGCAGCUUCCACCAGGGAAGAGGCUGUGACUCAUUCUCCAUCUGUGUGCAGCCAUCUCUGUACAGAAGAAGCAGAUGGCCUAGAGAGAUCAGAGAGAAUAUCAUGACACUAAAAUUAUGCUCACUGAAGCUGGGGAUGCAGGGGAAGUAAAAAGCAGGAUAGAUCCAUCACCUCCUGGGGUACAGCAGCAAAAGCCAGGCAAACACAUAUUGUCAUGGAUUUAAAAAGUCUAAAUAUAUAAGGUGUGCUUAAGUGUGUGGGUAAAGGCCAUUUAAUUCAGAGCUCUCACUGCUACGCUAUACUGACCAUGCCACAGGAGCUAGCCAGCCACCCUUAGAGUGCGUUUAAUGUAGAAAAAUGAUUUGUGGCACAGCCCUGUCAAUAGUGUAAACAGCUAUGACCUGAGGCAGCACCAGGGGUGUGGGCAGUGCUUUGCCUCUGAAAAGCAGCAGAGAUGCUUAUCACGGUGCCCCACUGAGAUGGGCCACUGCUGUCUGUAACU